rnacentral:rRNA from 1 species
CCUACGGGAGGCAGCAGUGAGGAAUAUUGGUCAAUGGACGCAAGUCUGAACCAGCCAUGCCGCGUGCAGGAAGACUGCUCUAUGAGUUGUAAACUGCUUUUGUACUGGGGUAAACGCAGAUACGCGUAUCUGUCUGAAAGUAUCGUACGAAUAAGGCUCGGCUAACUCCGUGCCAGCAGCCGCGGUACUACGGAGGAUUCAAGCGUUAUCCGGAUUUAUUGGGUUUAAAGGGAGCGUAGGCGGUCGGAUAAGUUAGAGGUGAAAUCCUGAGGCUCAACUUAGGAAUUGCCAUUGAUACUGGUAGGCUAGAGAGUAGUUGAGGUAGGCGGAAUGCAUGGUGUAGCGGUGAAAUGCUUAGAGAUCAUACAGAACACCGAUUGCGAAGGCAGCUUACUAAGCUACUUCUGACGUUGAGGCACGAAAGCGUGGGUAUCAAACAGGAUUAGAUACCCUUGUAGUC